GAUGAACGCUAGCGGCAGGCUUAACACAUGCAAGUCGAGGGGUAUAGUUCUUCGGAGCUAGAGACCGGCGCACGGGUGCGUAACGCGUAUGCAAUCUACCUUUUGCAGAGGGAUAGCCCAGAGAAAUUUGGAUUAAUACCUCAUGGUAUGUGAGAAUGGCAUCAUUUUCACAUUAAAGUCACAACGGCAAAAGAUGAGCAUGCGUCCCAUUAGCUAGUUGGAAGGUAACGGCUUACCAAGGCAACGAUGGGUAGGGGUCCUGAGAGGGAGAUCCCCCACACUGGGAAUGAGACACGGACCAGACUCCUACGGGAGGCAGCAGUGAGGAAUAUUGGACAAGGGGCGCAAGCCUGAUCCAGCCAUGCCGCGUGCAGGAUGACGGUCCUAUGGAUUGUAAACUGCUUUUGUACAGGAAGAAACACUGGUUCGUGAACCAGCUUGACGGUACUGUAAGAAUAAGGAUCGGCUAACUCCGUGCCAGCAGCCGCCGUAAAAC
rnacentral:rRNA from 1 species